rnacentral:rRNA from 1 species
UACGGAAUGUGCAAACGUUAUUCGGAAUCACUGGGCUUAAAGAGUCCGUAGGCGGCUUGUUAGGUGAGGUGUGAAAUCCCUCGGCCCAACCGAGGAAUUGCGCUUCAAACCGGCAAGCUAGAGGAGGAUAGAGGUGGGCGGAACUGAUGGUGGAGCGGUGAAAUGCGUUGAUAUCAUCAGGAACACCGGAGGCGAAGGCGGUCCACUGGGUCCUAUCUGACGCUGAGGGACGAAAGCUAGGGGAGCGAACGGGAUUAGAAACCCCCGUAGUCC